GGGGACCGAACCCAGGGCCUUGCCCUUCUUAGGUGCUGGACUGUGUGCUAAAGGAUCCUGUCUUUGCAAAACCUUAAUUUGGCUGACAGAGUCGCAUCUCAGGUUGAUGCCACCGAGGACAUGUACAUGCUGUUCCUGAUGUAACCAAAAGUUCGAAGCCUGGAUGCAUGUAUAUUCAAAAUGCUGACUGAACCAGAGAAGACAUGUUUGCAACCCGGUUAGACAAAUUACUGGAAAGGUACUUUCUGUCCAAACAUGAGAAGCUGAUUUCAGAUCUCCAGACUCUACAUAAAAACCUGGGAAUUGAUCCAUGUAUGUGUAUAUAUAAAGACAGAUGAAGAUAAGUGUAUCCUAAAUAUUUGCUGGCUGGCUAACCUCAUUGAAACAGUGAGCUUCUGGUUCAGUGAGAGAACCUACUUAAAGGCAGUAAGGCAGAGUACAAUACCCAAGACACCUAAUGUCCUUUCCAGUUCUGGUUUCUUCUUGUAAAUGGG
rnacentral:sRNA from 1 species